rnacentral:misc_RNA from 1 species
AUUACAUUAAGAUAAAAAGGGAACAAAAUGAGGUUGAAGAACAAAUCCAGGAAUCUAACGACUAUACGUUGCUAUCCAGGACGCAGAUGCUCAUUUUCAGUUCUCUUAUGGAGUAUAGUCGGUUGCCUUGUUUUACUUAAUCUAUAUUGCUUUAUUUUCGAAAAGGAUGCACCGCAUGGGGGUGCACACUUACGUAUUAACCAGCACCAACACUUUCGUGAGCUUGAAGAGGUUGAGGAGGAUAAUAUACAGAUGCCACCACCAAGGAAGCGAUCCGCACGUGCUGUCAAACGGAAGCCUAAGCGACCAACCACCUUGAUUGAAGAAUUUCUUGACGAGGCUUCGCAGCUAAGGCAUGUCUUUUUUCCUGGUCUAAGAACUGCAAUAGAUCCUCGUAGGAGUUCUGGAAAUGAUACCUAUUAUUAUUACCCUGGAAGAAUGUGGUUGGAUACUGAGGGAAACCCCAUACAAGCUCAUGGGGGAGGUAUUCUACACGAUCAGAGAACAAAAAUGUAUUAUUGGUACGGUGAGUAUAAAGAUGGGCCAACGUAUCAUGCUCACAAAAAAGGAGCAGCACGAGUUGAUGUUAUCGGUGUUGGUUGCUAUUCAUCCAAAGAUUUGUGGACUUGGAAAAAUGAAGGAAUUGUUUUGGCAGCAGAAGAACAUAAUGAGACACAUGAUUUGUACAAGUUAAAUGUACUGGAGAGGCCAAAAGUAAUUUACAAUGAGAAGACAGGUAAAUAUGUAAUGUGGAUGCAUAUUGAUGAUACAAACUACACAAAAGCUUUGACUGGCGUAGCCAUAAGCGACCUCCCCACUGGUCCAUUUAAUUAUCUGUACAGUAAACGGCCCCACGGAUAUGAAAGCAGGGAUAUGACACUCUUCAAAGAUGAUGAUGGUGUCGCAUACCUCGUUUACUCCUCAGAGGACAACAGUGAGCUUCAUAUUGGUCCACUUAAUGAAGAGUACAUGGACGUGACCCAAUCCAUGAGAAGGAUUCUUGUUGGACAACACAGGGAAGCCCCUGCUUUGUUCAAACAUGAAGGAACCUAUUACAUGAUCACGUCAGGUUGCACUGGUUGGGCUCCGAACGAGGCCCUAGCUCAUGCAGCUGAAUCAAUUAUGGGGCCAUGGGAGACCAUUGGAAAUCCGUGCAUCGGUGGG